AUAGAAUUUUUGGUUCUAGGCGGAAACUCUAGAUGGCGUUGAUGUGCGUCUAUGAUGAAGAUUAUGAGUGACAAGUUACGUGUUUGUUACGUUACCCUUUUAUGUGUUUCAAAGGAUUUUUCGUCAAAUAUUUACGAUUGCUGUUUGUACGUGGUGUUGUUUCGCCUUGUCAGCUAUGCCAGCGCCUGAACCAGCAGCCUGCAUUCCUGCUAUCAAUGUACCACAAGGGAUCCUGACACUUUAAGAAGGCCACUAUUCCUUACAUGAAGAUCACCAUCCAGUUCAAUCAACAACAGAGUCUUCAUCUACUUUGUGUUGCUAACCAUCAGCCCUCAGCAUCCCAGGUAUCCAGAUUUCCAAGUUUCUCUGAUUAGCCAACCAUCAUCCAUACCCUUCAGCUCUUCAUUGUGGCUUCUCUUCCUCUCUUCUUAGUCUGCUGAAUGCCAAAAUUGAAUAAGGUUCAUUGUCAUAGCCUUUCCAUGGUAUUUUAAUUUGGUGGAUUAUCUAGCUCCUGUUUUUUGCACCGUUACUUAGCCAGCUCACAUGGACAGGCUUUAACAACAUCUCCAUUUUUUUGGACUGCAAAUAUUCAUCUUCCUUCGUCGUCUUGGCCGUCUUUGCCUUCAUCUCCGUCUCGUCGUCUUGGCCGUCUUCGCCUUCAUCUCCGUCUCGUCGUCUUGGCCGUCUUCGCCUUCAUCUCCGUCUCGUCGUCUUGGCCGUCUUCG